UCUACAUUGAAAACACAGUAUGUUUAUCUCCUAAACAAAUCAUGAGAAUGUUGAGUGCAAGUACCUUGUGAGGAUUCCCAACAAUGUGUCAGCUGGCUGUUGUGGUCUGUGAUUGAUUAUUCCUGAGCUUCCAGAUGUUGGUACAUUUGCAUUCAGUACUUCAGCCACUGGUCCAAUGCCAAGCUCUUGUAACAUUCUUUCAAAGUAGUAGUUAGAGAUGUCAUUGUAAAUAGUGAUGUCGACAUAUCUCUUAAUAUUUAAUCUCGAUACCAUAUUGAUAGUGAAUUAAUAAUUCACUGCCAUAGAAUUGUUUACAUUUAUCAGUUUAUUGAGAUUGCCAUAGAUAAGAUGGACAGUGAUAAGGCAGAAAUUUCAAGUUUAAAAAUUUGAUGGAUCAGCCUGGUUCACAUUUAGCAUUAAAUUGCAGGUUUACACAGGUGAUAUUUAUCUUUUGGUACACAUGCAGGUUAAUUCAUCUUUUUCAAUAUAUCUUGAUGCUGAGUCAACAUCGAUACCAAAAUGUCAAAUCGAUGACACCCUCUGGUAGCAAUAAGCUCGGUUGAUGAUAGGUCAUAUGUUCAAACCAAAAUAUAAUGAAAACCAUUAUCCUUGUUUGACAGCACUAUGCUCCUAAGACAUCUUUCACAGUGUAUGCCCUUACAAUGUAUGUGUGCAAUAAGUCGGUCAGUGAGUUGUAACCAUGGUAACUGAAUCUGUUUUAUGCUAUAUUUUGGAAAUGUUCACACAUAAUUUUUUCAAUUCAGCUUUCUGAUUUUUGUAAUAAGUGCUAGUAAAUAUGCCUUAUAAAAUGUAUCUCUGCAAUGAUGAACAUACCCUCUGGGUGGAUGACAUUCUGUGAUUUCAAUCUUUCACUCGCCGAACUGAGCAGAGGUACGUUUUAGGAAGUAUUUUGUGAAAGUAAGAUCGGUUAAUAGUUCGAUUAUAUUUUUAUCUGCACAUUUGUGUCAUCAUUUUACAGCCCUAAAUUCAUUUUUUUUUUUUUCGGGCUCCAAACAAGAAUAUUUAAGGAGCCAAAAGAUAUCUUAAACGGAUAUUGUCACCAGUUAUUUUGAGUUAUUGGUAACCAAGUGGUGUGCAGUAGUGCCUCAUAAUGACAUCCAUAUAUUCUCUUCCUUAUGUGUAUCACUUCUAAAUGCCUUUCAAAGACCUUUUCAUCACAAUGAGUGUGAAGACCCACUGUAAUGUUACACAAAAUGGAAUUAGUGUGUUUUAAUAUCUCCAAAUACUUAGAAGCAAAAUAACUUUUGGCAUCAACAAAAUAAAACGUUGCUAUUUUAGAAUUUUCUUGGAUUGACCUACAGAUUGCUCUGAUUGGAAUAGCCUUGUGAUUAAAGUUUAGUUAAUAUGUGAGCGUUACUCUGCCAUGAUGAACACACCCUCUGGGUGGAUGACAUUCUGUGAUUUCAAUCUUUCACUCGCCGAACUGAGCAGACGUCAACAGAUAACCCAUGUUGGCAAGGUUCUCUAUUAGAUCUGGGUUAUGGAGAAACAAAUUCCUUUUUGUUGUUCCCAAUGAAUGAAGUUUCAUACAGGCUUUGGUCAUCUGCAAUAAUUUAUUUGAUAAUUUAUUUGAUACUUCAGUCAAAUCAAUGAUUAAUAUUUUUGUUUCCACAAGAUACAGAAACAUGUUUUAAUUACGUGCAGUGUCCGAAAUAGCUGUCUGUCUUCCAUCCCGUGGCUGGUAACACUUUUGUCAGGAUAGGUGAAAUGUAUUCCUACCUGCCCGAGUGUUGAGAAGGAAAUUUCAUUGCUAUGCUACACUGACAGUGACAGUUUUGAAUCUGACAUUGUGUGAGAGCGGAACAACCUUUGCGGUUAUAAACAUUGAUAAAGCUGUAAAUUUCAAAGGCAGGUUACAGUUUUGAGUCAGCAGCCCGCCUUGCUUCUUGAAGUCACAAGAUUUAUAAUGUAAUAAGCUGUCAUGAUGAACACACCCUCUGGGUGGAUGACAUUCUGUGAUUUCAAUCUUUCACUCGCCGAACUGAGCAGCAUUGUGUGUAAUUUCAGAACACCCCUUCGCACUAGAACUGUUUAGGUUUGAAGUAGUCAAGUAUCAAAUGGUCGAGUUGCAACAUCUGGAUUACCCAGUGUAUUAUUUUAUGUUUGUUCAUGAGAUGUUAAACAUGCUAAGUACAUGGUUAUAUUCAGAAAUAUGCCUGAACAGGAUUAAGAGAUAGCUUCAUUACUAUUUUCAGGAUAAUUUUGAUUAUGGAAUCGGCAUCUUUUACCACACUGCACAAACUGUUGUGUUCUGUAUAUUUUGGGUUUGCAAAGUCGGCCAAUACAAUAAACAGUUAGAACUAGAUAUGUUGGUAGUGUCCUGGCGCCAGAUGAAUGUUCCUUAGAUGUUUUGUAGAUUGAGCUGUCCAACAAAAGUUGACAGUGUUACGCUGCCAUGAUGAACACACCCUCUGGGUGGAUGACAUUCUGUGAUUUCAAUCUUUCACUCGCCGAACUGAGCAGCUGAUUGAGAAAUAAUUGGAAAGUUCUGUUCCUUCCAUCGACAACAUCUGUAGAUGUAUUCUGACACUUUAUUUUCAAAACAACUUUUUAUGAAAAUCUUGUCUUAAGUUGUUGGAUAAUUUGGCAUCUUGAAACAACCCCAAUAUAUAAUCUGGCUCUGUUGUGGUAAGAUUGAGUUGUCUCAGGAGUAGGAACUAGUAAACGUUAGCUGUAUUUUGUCUUCAUUUAAGAUGCUCACAUGAAGAGAAGAAUUACUUUGUUUAGGGUGACAUUUCCAAGUUAUGCCUGGGUGUACAGUAAGACUGGGACAGGCAUCACUGGGCGACAGCUUUAACCGUCAUAACGACUAUACUUUAGAAGACAUACAGAACUUGUAACUAUGGAUUUAGGAAACAUGACGCACUCAUUGCAUGCUUGAGGUCAGCUGUGGAUUGAGCUUUAACUUUAAUUAUGCUGCCAUGAUGAACACACCCUCUGGGUGGAUGACAUUCUGUGAUUUCAAUCUUUCACUCGCCGAACUGAGCAGCAUUGUGUGUAAUUUCAGAAUACCCCUUCGCACUAGAACUGUUCCUGUUUGAAGUAGUCAAGUAUCAAAUGGUCGAGUUGCAACAUCUCGAUUACCCAGUGUAUUAUUUUGUGUUGUUUGUUCAUGAGGUGUUAAACAUGCUAAGUACAUGGUUAUAAUCAGAAAUAUGCCUGAACAGGAUUAAGAGAUAGCUUCAUUACUGUUUUCGGGAUAAUUUUGAUUAUGGAAUUAGCAUCUUUUACCACACUGCACAAACUGUUGUGUUCUGUAUAUUUGGGGUUUGCAAAGUAGGUCAAUACAUUAAACUGGAUAUGUUGGUAAUGUCCUGGCACCAGAUGAAUGUUCCUUAGAUAUUUUGUAGAUCGAGCUGUGCAACAAAAAGUGACAGUGUUACGCUGCCAUGAUGAACACACCCUCUGGGUGGAUGACAUUCUGUGAUUUCAAUCUUUCACUCGCCGAACUGAGCAGCUGAUUGAGAAAUAAUUGGAAAGUUAUAUUCCUCCCAUCUGUAGAUGUACAACUUUCUUUUUUAUGAAAAUCUUGUCUUAAAUUGUUUGUUUGGGCAUCUUGAAACAACACAUUAAUAUAAUCUGGCUCUGUUUUUGUAAGAUUGAGUUGUCUCAGGAGUAGGAAAUAGUUAACGUCAGCUGUAUUUUGUCUUCAUUUAAGAUGCUCACAUGAAGAGAAGAAUUAUUAUUGCUAAGGGUGACAUUUCCAAGUUGUGCCUGGGUGUACAGUAAGACUGGGACGGGCAUCAUUGGGCGACAGCUUUAACCGUCAUGACGACUAUACUUAAUGGAUUGAGCUUUAACUUUAAUUAUGCUGCCAUGAUGAACAUACCCUCUGGGUGGAUGACACUCUGUGAUUUCAAUCUUUCACUCGCCGAACUGAGCAGCAUUGUGUGUAAUUUCAGAACACCCAUUCGCACUAGAACUGUUCCUGUUUGAAGUAGUCAAGUAUCUAAUGGUCGAGUUGCAACAUCUCGAUUACCCAGUGUAUUAUUUUAUGUUGUUUGUUCAUGAGGUGUUAAACAUGCUAAAUACAUGGUUAUAUUCAGAAAUAUGCCUGAACAGGAUUAAGAGAUAGCUUCAUUACUGUUUUCAGGAUAUGUUGUGUUCUGUAUAUUUGGGGUUUGCAAAGUAGGUCAAUACAUUAAACUAGAUAUGUUGGUAAUGUCCUAGCACCAGAUGAAUGUUCCUUAGUUGUUUUGUAGAUUGAGCUGUCCAACAAUAAGUGACAGUGUUACGCUGCCAUGAUGAACACACCCUCUGGGUGGAUGACAUUCUGUGAUUUCAAUCUUUCACUCGCCGAACUGAGCAGCUUUGUGUACAGAGAUAGAAAGUCCUACUGGGCCAAAUCGGCCAUUUUCUUUUUAGAGUGCCCUGAUGGCUACCAUUGUGUAUUUUCAGUCAUAAAUGUUGAUUGCAUGUAGAUUUAGGGACAUGAUGAUGUGUUUGAGCAUUUGUAGAUGGGUUUAUUACAUACGCUGUCCAAUGUCGAUGUUGAGUCUAGAUGUGACAGAAAUGUCAUGUUAAAAGUGAAAAAUGAUCUUAAUGAAAAUUGAAAAUGUAAAAAAAUGUUGCUGCAAUGAUGAACAUACCCUUUGGGUGGAUGAUAUUCUGUGAUUUCAAUCUUUCACUCGCCGAACUGAGCAGCAUUUUUCAGCCUGAAGUAAAGCACUGCUCCUGAUGAUUAAAUGUAACGCUGGGCACGGUUGGCCCAGUUGUGUAAGGGGCCACAAAUCUGUGUACAGGUGUGCACCCUUAGGCUUGCCAGAAACUGGUGAUCAUUGGUUCAAAUCCCAGAUAUGCCAAUUGUUUCUUGGUUUGUUUGUCAGAAUGUUGGUUUCACCAAAGCGGUAAACGUCUAAGACCUGCAUCACUGCUGGCUUUCCACUCGCAUCAAGCUGACACUGAAUUGUAGCUUAUUAAAGCUGUUCAAAGCAGAAUUAAACAUGCUCGCUCACUCUCAGAUGUGAUGAAAUGCAGUUUGAUAAUUGAAUGGAUAAUGCCUUGCGAUGUGGGGUAGCUUAAUGGUUGGGGCUAGUAAUUGAAAUGACCACUCUCAUAUGACCCUCAAAUAGUUUACACAGUAUUAUGCUGCUAUGAUGAACAUACCCUCUGGGUGGAUGAUAAUCUGUGAUUUCAAUCUUUCACUCGCCGAACUGAGCAGCUUAAUAAAUAUGUGAAGUUGUAGAGAUUUGUGUAACAAAGUUAACUGCAUAUAGAAAAGUAGGUGUAAAAAUUGUUCCCAGUACAAAAUGGAAUUCUAAGGGCAUAGUAUUUACGGAUCGGGGAUAGUUUUUAAGUCCCAGACUCAGAUUUUGAAAGGGGAUUCCUGACUUGGUGAAUAAAAUUCUCAAGUUCCUUGACAGCGGUGUAAAGGGUGCUUGAAUCUCACAUCCCACGUCCAUGUGUCAUUGUAAACUUCUUGAUUCCUGGCUGGAAGGGUGUCCCAGUGUUUCACUGCAGAGUUACUCCCCUUGCCAUCUGCUGGUUCAUCCCAUAUGUGGUCCUUGGUCUGUCUGCGUCACAUCUACGAUACUAGUGAAAAGUUGUGUGACAUGGGUGUUAUAAGCUGCAAUGAUGAACACACCCUCUGGGUGGAUGACAUUCUGUGAUUUCAAUCUUUCACUCGCCGAACUGAGCAGCUUCGUGUGCAGAGAUAGGAAUAUCCACUACCCUGAGCCAAAUCCGCCAUUUGUUAGAGUAUCUGAUAUCUACCACUGUGUUUUUCCAGAAUUCCCCUUAUUGUUUUCAUUGGGAUGUAUCCAAAUGGCUGAAUAUAUAAACUGAAGAAAGAAAAUAAUAUAUAUUGCAUCCUGAAGGACACAAAAUAAUAUUCAUUGUACCAUAUUCUUGACAAGAAAUGUAAAGGUCCCGUACUUCUUGUAAAUCUUACAGUACAGUACACUACACCAUUUCAUUACUAUGUACAGGACCCUCAUAUUUCCUGUAAGGACCCUUGAAAUCAAUUAUUGGGGGUCCCCUUGAACCCUAGUUUGGUAGGCCAUGAUAAAACCAUGCCCUGACCUUCAUUACUAAGAAUCUGAUCCGAAUGACAUAACAACUGAGUAACCUUUUCAAUAAAGUUCUCAUGUAGGACAAAAUGCAGCAUUAGAACUAGUCAUUGCCAAACUGCCAAUGGUAAAGGUGUUAUAAGGACAAGUAGAAAUGUGCCCUUUUUAAGGGUUUUGACAUAUGUUACCAUUAUAAGGACCAGUGGAUGAAAACUGUUAGUUUCUAACCCUGAAAUGUGCGGAUAUCAUUAAGCACAAGCUGCCAUGAUGAACACACCCUCUGGGUGGAUGACAUUCUGUGAUUUCAAUCUUUCACUCGCCGAACUGAGCAGCAUUGUG
rnacentral:lncRNA from 1 species